rnacentral:rRNA from 1 species
AUUGAACGCUGGCGGCAGGCUUAACACAUGCAAGUCGAGCGGAGCGAGGGUGCUUGCACCUUAGCUUAGCGGCGGACGGGUGAGUAAUGCUUAGGAAUCUGCCUAUUAGUGGGGGACAGCAUUCCGAAAGGAAUGCUAAUACCGCAUACGCCCUACGGGGGAAAGCAGGGGAUCUUCGGAUCUUGCGCUAAUAGAUGAGCCUAAGUCGGAUUAGCUAGUUGGUGGGGUAAAGGCCUACCAAGGCGACGAUCUGUAGCGGGUCUGAGAGGAUGAUCCGCCACACUGGGACUGAGACACGGCCCAGACUCCUACGGGAGGCAGCAGUGGGGAAUAUUGGACAAUGGGCGGAAGCCUGAUCCAGCCAUGCCGCGUGUGUGAAGAAGGCCUUUUGGUUGUAAAGCACUUUAAGCGAGGAGGAGGCUACUUAGAUUAAUACUCUGGGAUAGUGGACGUUACUCGCAGAAUAAGCACCGGCUAACUCUGUGCCAGCCGCCGCCGUAA